GUGACGUCGAACUUCCUGUUUCUUUGUCUAAACAACGUUGUGCUCACGCAUCGUCGGAGAAACGCUCCGAGCAGCGGCGUGUGUGUGUGUAUGUCGAGCUGGAGAGCAUGCUAGCUGAUGGCUAACACUUAAAUUAGCGCCCUUGGAACGGCGGAAUCAGUUUUCACGGUGCUUAUGGUACACGUGCUGGUCGAGAGUGAGAAUAAAUCAACACCCGUUUGAAACUCUGCGUCUUGCUGAAUGAAUCCAAGGGGCCGCUAGACAGACUUCUACAGCAAUGUAUCUUUUUUUACUCUCAAAACACGUUCAGAUUCACUAGAUUCACAUUUUCUAUUAUAUUUUGAGUUGUCAUCUGGUGCCUGUAUUUUAAGUUUUCAUUUUCACCAAAAAUUAUGCAGAAAAGGCACAAAUUGGUGUAUAAAAAAAUCACCAAAGUGCAGAAAAUGAAAUGUUGGAUGCUUCAAAUUUCCCUGGGGAGGAUCCUCAAAUCCCCCACUUAGUGUAUCCCCCAAUAUUUAAAUGAAACCUACACCCUUAGAAAUAAUGGUGCAAAAUUUCAUAACAAUCCUCCUAAUAGUUGCUGAGAGAGUUCAGUUUGAACCAAAGCGGUGUCACAUCUGACUCACCCGAGAAGGAUCUGAUUAUCAGACAUGAGAUUUUGAAAUAUAGCCCCUCAUUUGACACACAGCUGUGUAUAAAUGCAGAGGCAGAGGUUAAUAACGUACCCAGGAUUUCUUGCUGCC